UACGAGGGGGGCAAGCGUUGUUCGGAAUUAUUGGGCGUAAAGGGUGCGUAGGCGGCGCGGUAUGUCUCUUGUGAAAUCUCCAGGCUCAACUUGGAGUCUGCAAGGGAAACUGCCGUGCUUGAGUACUGGAGAGGUGAGUGGAAUUCCCGGUGUAGCGGUGAAAUGCGUAGAUAUCGAGAGGAACACCUGAGGUGAAGACGGGUUGCUGGGCUGACACUGACGCUGAGGCGCGAAAGCCAGGGGAGCAAACGGG
rnacentral:rRNA from 1 species